rnacentral:rRNA from 1 species
UGUAAGCGUAUACCAAAGUUGUUGCAGUUAAAACGCUCGUAGUCGGAAUUUGGCAGUUCCGGAUGUGUGCACGUCGUGUGCGCACUUCGCGGGGAUUGCUUUUGUGGUCUUGCGUAGGAUGAGGCACUUUUAUUAGUGAACGUCCUCACGCAACCACUUUUUACUGUGAGAAUAUCAGAGUGCUCAAAGCAGGCAUUUGCCGUGAAUGUAUUAGCAUGGAAUAAUAGAAUAGGACUUGGUUCUAUUUUGUUGGUUUGUUGGGACUGAGUAAUGAUUAAGAGGGACAGUUGGGGGCAUUUGUAUUUCGGUGCUAGAGGUGAAAUUCUUAGAUUACCGAAAGACAAACUGCUGCGAAAGCGUCUGCCAAGGAUGUUUUCAUUGA